GUCUUUCCUAUGUAUGUUCCAGACCACACAGCAUGCUGUCUGCCUUUCUGGGGACCACUCCGUAGCUCAGUUACAAUGCAACCCCUGAAUUAAGUACGUUAUUCCAAUGUGGUGCAAGAAAGAACAGUCAUCUCUGGGAAACAGAACCAAUGGAAGUGUGCUGGUUUUGUUUGCCUCAUUGGAUCUCUGCCCACCCAGUUACUCACCCCACUGCUCUUGGAGGGGACCUAUAAAGGCAUUGCCCAGAAAGCGCAAAGAAUCCAUGAAUAUCCUGAUCUCUCAAUUUCCUACAAGCCCUGUUAUUCUAAAAUGUUCGCGUGAACUGCUACCACAGAGUACAGCACAGUAGUUACCAGGAACAGCCCUGCGGAUUAUCCACCAGCGUUCUGGUUUCCUGUCUCUCCCUACUGACCUGGCCUCACUCAAGUGUCAGCAGAGCCCAAGAAGUACCCAGCAAGACUUUGCUUUUAACUCAGACAUGCAGGUGUCUGGGGCUGGAGUGGAUGGCACUAAUCUACUUCCUUUUCCUAAGAAAAUCUGCUUGGAUGAAUCCAUGUCUGGAGUACAAAGGAGUCUCCUCCAAACAUCCCCUGUAAGAACCUACUUGCUGCCAAGCUCAGGCUGUGGGAAGGAACUUGGGUUCAGGGCCAACAGUGACACUGUGUUCUCUUCCUUUCAACCUACAGGCAAGUCCUUCUGGGGCAGAGAGCACUUCUGUCCAAUCUGUACCGAGCUAACAUACAAUCCCCUAACCCAACGAGUGCCUGUGGGCCUGUAUCUAAUGUAGCUUAAAUAAUUCUCUCCUCUCCCUCUCACCAUUCUUUGCCAUGUAAGUGACUGGCUUUCAAAUUUUGUUGACUAACCUACAGAUAAGAAAUACAUGUUACUUUGCAACACAGUAUUCACACAUACAUGUGUGCACACACACAGAGCAAUCAAAAAUAUGAUGACACAAUUAUUCCCCUUGCUGUGUAUGGGGUACUUUAUCUUCCACUCUAUUAUAUUUUAUUUCAUUUUUUAAAAUGCUGGUCAUGACCUAUCAAAUCAAUUUUAUGACUCAUCA